rnacentral:rRNA from 1 species
AGGGGUUGUGCCUGAAAGGGAACCGGAACACAGGUGCUGCAUGGCUGUCGUCAGCUCGUGUCGUGAGAUGUUGGGUUAAGUCCCGCAACGAGCGCAACCCUUGUCCCUAGUUGCUACGCAAGGGCACUCUAGGGAGACUGCCGGUGACAAACCGGAGGAAGGUGGGGAUGACGUCAAGUCCUCAUGGCCCUUAUGGGUAGGGCUUCACACGUCAUACAAUGGCCGGUACAGAGGGUUGCCAAACCGCGAGGUGGAGCCAAUCCCAGAAAGCCGGUCGUAGUCCGGAUUGCAGUCUGCAACUCGACUGCAUGAAGUCGGAAUCGCUAGUAAUCGCGGAUCAGCAUGUCGCGGUGAAUACGUUCCCGGGUCUUGUACACACCGCCCGUCACACCAUGGGAGUGGGUUCUACCAGAAGUAGGUAGGCUAACCGCAAGGAGGCCGCUUACCACGGUAGGAUUCAUGACUGGGGUGAAGUCGUAACAAGGUAGCCGUAA